rnacentral:rRNA from 1 species
AUUGAACGCUGGCGGCAUGCCUUACACAUGCAAGUCGAACGGCAGCACGGGGCAACCUGGUGGCGAGUGGCGAACGGGUGAGUAAUGCAUCGGAACGUACCUUUCAGUGGGGGAUAACGUAGCGAAAGUUACGCUAAUACCGCAUAUUCUGUGAGCAGGAAAGCAGGGGAUCGCAAGAGCUUGCGCUGAUUGAGCGGCCGAUGUCAGAUUAGCUAGUUGGUGGGGUAAAGGCUCACCAAGGCGACGAUCUGUAGCGGGUGUGAGAGGAUGAUCCGCCACACUGGAACUGAGACACAGUCCAGACUCCUACGGGAGGCAGCAGUGGGGAAUUUUGGACAAUGGGGGCAACCCUGAUCCAGCCAUGCCGCGUGAGUGGAGAAGGCCUUCGGGUUGUAAAGCUCUUUCGGCCGGGAAGAAAUCGCACGGGCUAAUACCCUGUGUGGAUGACGGUACCGGAAUAAGAAGCACCGGCUAACUACGUGCCAGCCGCCGCGGUAAGAC